UCCCCUGCCCCCCAUGUCCCGCUCAAGUCUCUGGGUCCCUCUUUCUCUGUUUCUUAACCCACGCCUUGCUGUCUUUGUCUCUCCGUGCCCACAGUCUCUAUCCUCCUGUCUGUCUCUGGGUAUCUCCGUCUCCAGGUCUCCCAAUCUCUGUUCAGCCUAUCGCUGAACCUUUAUCUCUCCUUGCCCCAUUCUCUGUGUCUCUCUCCAUGUCUCUCUCCUCUCUUUGUCUCCUUGCCCACAUUUUUGUCUUUUUCUGUCGUUUGCUCUCUGGUCUCUUGCUGUGUGUCGCAUUCCCCUCAGUCUCUGUAUUUCUAUUUCAUCCAUUUCUCGGGCUCCGUCUGAGAUCUUCCCCUGCCCGCCCCCCUUUCUGUACAUGGUGCUAAUGUGCCAGGUAUUGGGGUCAGACGCAUUUCCAGGCAUCUGGGUCCCCGCAGACCUAAGCCCAGGCUCUGACUCCUCUCUAGUCCCUAGGGAGAGGUUUGUUCCAUCCACUCGGCUUUCUCCGGAUCGGGCAAGUUCUAUAAGGUCGAGUCCCCAUCUGUCAUUUGAAAACCCUGUGGGCUGGGAGAGUGGGAACUCCGAGGGUCCUUUGAAGCCCCGUGCCUGACGAUUUCUGUGACCUCUUCUCCGAGGCAGUCCCCAGGUUUCCCAGAGUCUCUAGGUCUAGACUCCGGGUGACAUUAGCGCUUCCGCCCUGUCCAAGCAGCUCUAAGGCAACCGCAACCGCGCCCUCAGCAAACACCCCCCUUCCACCGCCGCUGCCCCAGCAACACUUGGGAGCGGGCCUGGGGAUCACGUGUUGGAUCUCGGCCUCGCCCCCUCGCCCCCACCCCUCCCGUCGUCACUCGUGGGAGCGGAGUGGGGGGCGCUGCCUCCCAGUCUGCAAGUAUGAUUCCCAGAGCCGAAGGCGCUGGGGCCGGAGGGGAGGGCGGAGGCUCCUGACUCUACCCCCUGACCCUGCAGGCCCGACUGCCCCUACGUGAUCAGACCCUUGGUCCCCCUCUCCCCCCAUGCCCCACCGUCUUCACGAUGCCGAACGGUCCGCCUUGGCAGCUGCUUCUACCGCUACUCUGGUCGUGGGGGCCGCUGCUCCGGAGGGCGGAGACAGGCUCUGUGGGGCAGACGGCGGGGGAGCUGUACCAGCGCUGGGAACGGUACCGUAGAGAGUGCCAAGAGACACUGGAGGCCGUGGACCCCCCAGCAGGCCUCGCCUGUAACGGGUCCUUCGAUAUGUACGUCUGCUGGGACUACACUGCACCCAACGCCACCGCGCGUGCAUCCUGCCCCUGGUACCUGCCCUGGCACAGCCACGUGGCUACAGGCUUUGUCCUCCGCCAUUGUGGCAGUGAUGGCCAAUGGGGACCUUGGAGGGACCAUUCUCAGUGUGAGGACCCGGAGAAGAAUGGAGCCUUUCAGGAUCAACGGCUGAUUUUGGAGCGGCUGCAGGUCAUGUACACCGUGGGCUACUCCGUGUCCCUGGCCACACUGCUGCUGGCCCUGCUCAUCUUGAGUUUCUUCAGGCGGUUGCGCUGCACUCGAAACUACAUCCACAUCAACCUGUUCACGUCUUUCAUGCUGCGGGCGGCGGCCAUCCUCACUCGAGACCGUUUGCUACCUCCUCCUGGCCCCUACCCUGGGGACGAUGCCCCUGUCCUGUGGAAACCGGCCCUAGCUGCCUGCCGCACGGCCCAGAUCGUGACCCAGUACUGCGUGGGCGCCAACUACACGUGGCUGCUGGUGGAGGGGGUCUACCUACACAGUCUCCUGGUGCUUGUGGGAGGUUCCGAGGGGGGCCACUUCCGCUGCUACGUGUUCCUCGGCUGGGGGGCCCCCGCGCUUUUCGUCAUUCCCUGGGUGAUCGUCAGGUACCUGUACGAGAACACGCAGUGCUGGGAGCGGAACGAAGUCAAGGCCAUUUGGUGGAUCAUACGCACGCCUAUCCUCGUGACUAUCUCGAUUAAUUUUCUCAUCUUUAUUCGCAUCCUUGGCAUCCUCGUGUCCAAACUGAGGACGCGACAGAUGCGCUGCCCGGACUACCGGCUGAGGCUGGCUCGCUCCACGCUGACGCUGGUGCCCCUGCUGGGCGUCCAUGAGGUGGUGUUUGCUCCUGUGACAGAGGAACAGGCCCGGGGUGCCCUGCGCUUCGCCAAGCUCGGCUUUGAGAUCUUCCUCAGCUCGUUCCAGCUCAGGGCAUCAGACAUCUCAUUUUGUCCUCAUCCUGACCCGAGGCCUGCCAACUCCUGACCGACCGAGCGUUUGGCCCCAUCUGGAGAACGGAGUGAAAGACGCAGGCAGAGAUAGAACAGAGACACGGUUCCCUCCUCUGGAAACGGAGGCCAGAAUUAACAGCGCCUGCUCACAGCGGUGGACAGGAAGGCUGAGCGGCACAGGGGCCGGGGCCUGGCACCCUAACAGUUUGGCAGGUGUCAGCUGCGGUCGCUAUCAAUAUUUGGGUACCGACUGCUACAACGGUACCUUCUCCUCCCCUCGGGGAGGGCAGGUCGGGGCUCUCCUGGGUACUGCUGGGUCCCCAGCAUGGCAACACAGGCCUGGCACAGGGGAGGCACUUGCGGGACUGUUUCCUGACUGAACAAAUGGAAAAAAAGACUGAAAGAAAUCCUGAGUUAGACCCCAACCUACUGAGAGAAGGGUAGAGGAAGCGAAGAGCCAGAUGCGGUGACAAGAAGCAGCUAGAAAAGAUGAAGACAGAAAAACGAGCUCUCUGUAUCC